UACCAGCACCCCGAGUGGUCGGGACGAUUAUUGGGCCUAAAGCAUCCGUAGCCGGUCCUACAAGUCUUCCGUUAAAUCCACCUGCUUAACAGAUGGGCUGCGGAAGAUACUAUAGGGCUAGGAGGCGGGAGAGGCAAGCGGUACUCAGUGGGUAGGGGUAAAAUCCUCUGAUCCAUUGAAGACCACCCGUGGCUAAGGCGGCUCUCUAGUACGGUACUGACGCUGAGACGCGAAAGCGUGGGGAGCGAACAGG
rnacentral:rRNA from 1 species